CCUUCGGGUUGUAAAGCUCUUUCAGACGGAAAGAAACGGUUACAGAUAAUACCUGUGACUAAUGACGGUACCGUCAGAAGAAGCACCGGCUAACUACGUGC
rnacentral:rRNA from 1 species